GGCCUGGAUGGGUGGUCCGCUUCACAGCGUGUACUGUCUGGCUGGGUCUUACCUCUUGGUGAGCCGGCGUGCCCUUUAUUGGUGUGCGUCGGGGAACCAGGACUUUUACCUUGAGAAAAUUAGAGUGUUCAAAGCAGGCUAUUGCCUGAAUACAUUAGCAUGGAAUAAUAAAAUAGGACGUGUGGUUCUAUUUUGUUGGUUUCUAGAAUCGCCGUA
rnacentral:rRNA from 1 species